rnacentral:lncRNA from 1 species
UGUAAAAUAUCCCCAAGUAUAUCAAUCGCCUUUGGCACAUCAGAUCCCAAAACCUUAGCGAAAUACGUCGUCUGUUCCCUAGAAGUAUACGCAUUCAAAUGCCCUCCCAUAUUCUCAAUUUCCUCUUCCAAUGCCCUAAUUGGCCGUUUCUCCGUUCCCUUAAAAAUCAUAUGCUCAAGGAAAUGCGCGACGCCGUUAUUCUCCUCCGUUUCGAAUCGAGAUCCGGCGUCGAUCCAAACUCCGACAGUAGCCGUUGAGGAUGACAGGUUCGAUUCAGUAGCGACACGUAGGCCGUUAGGGAGAGUGGUGAUUUUAGUCUCCGGUGAUGAGAGAAUUGAGGUGUGAUCCGCUGCGGUAGGAUGCGGGGAAUUGUACUGGAGGAACUUAGGGUUAGGUUCUUCGAGGCGUUUGAUCUUUGAUUUGACUUGUUCAGCUAAGCGAUCGUAGAUCAUGAAGUCUGGGGGAGGUGGGGAAGGUGGGGAGGAGGGUGGUGAGGUGGUUACGGAGGUGGUGGAUCGGGAAGAGAGUGUUAGACAUGGUGGUGGAAGGGAAAAACGAUUGAUUCGAGAGCGGCGCGUGACGUUGAGAAGGUGGCGCGUGGCCAUGGUGUAGGAUUGAAAGAGAGCCAAUUGUGACUGAGAAAAGUUUUACAAGUGACAGUGGAGGAGAAAUGAGGAUACUGCCUUUUUAG